rnacentral:rRNA from 1 species
AACGAACGCUGGCGGCAGGCUUAACACAUGCAAGUCGAGCGCCCUGCUUGCAGGGAGCGGCAGACGGGUGAGUAACGCGUGGGAACAUACCUUUCGGUUCGGAAUAGCCCCGGGAAACUGGGUGUAAUACCGAAUACGUCCUUAGGGAGAAAGAUUUAUCGCCGAAAGAUUGGCCCGCGUUAGAUUAGAUAGUUGGUGAGGUAACGGCUCACCAAGUCGACGAUCUAUAGCUGGUUUGAGAGGAUGAUCAGCCACACUGGGACUGAGACACGGCCCAGACUCCUACGGGAGGCAGCAGUGAGGAAUCUUGGACAAUGGGCGAAAGCCUGAUCCAGCCAUGCCGCGUGAAUGAUGAAGGCCUUAGGGUUGUAAAAUUCUUUCAGCAGGGAAGAUAAUGACGGUACCUGCAAAAGAAGCCCCGGCUAACUCCGUGCCAGCAGCCGCGGUAAUACGGAGGGGGCUAGCGUUGUUCGGAAUUACUGGGCGUAAAGCGCUCGUAGGCGGAUUGGUCAGUCAGAGGUGAAAGCCCAGGGCUCAACCUUGGAAUUGCCUUUGAUACUGCCAGUCUUGAGUUCAGGAGAGGUAAGCGGAAUUCCGAGUGUAGAGGUGAAAUUCGUAGAUAUUCGGAGGAACACCAGAGGCGAAGGCGGCUUACUGGACUGAUACUGACGCUGA